rnacentral:rRNA from 1 species
UUAAAGGGUCCGUAGGCGGAUUUGUAAGUCAGUGGUGAAAUCUCAUAGCUUAACUAUGAAACUGCCAUUGAUACUGCAAGUCUUGAGUAAAUUUGAAGUGGCUGGAAUAAGUAGUGUAGCGGUGAAAUGCAUAGAUAUUACUUAGAACACCAAUUGCGAAGGCAGGUCACUAAGAUUUAACUGACGCUGAUGGACGAAAGCGUGGGAGCGAACAGGAUUAGAUACCCUGGUAGUCCACGCCGUAAACGAUGCUAACUCGUUUUUGGGGUUUCGGCUUCAGAGACUAAGCGAAAGUGAUAAGUUAGCCACCUGGGGAGUACGUUCGCAAGAAUGAAACUCAAAGGAAUUGACGGGGGCCCGCACAAGCGGUGGAUUAUGUGGUUUAAUUCGAUGAUCGCGAGGAACCUUACCAAGACUUAAAUGGGAAUUGACAGAUUUAGAACUAGAUCUUUCUUCGGACAAUUUUCAAGGUGCUGCA